rnacentral:lncRNA from 1 species
GAAAAUUUAGCGAAUUUGAAUGUGAUUGUUUACAUGUGUAAAGGUAUGAACAUGGAUACCAAUGACCUAAUUAUAUUAACUAAUACACAAAAGUCGACUAGUCGAAUAAGAACCCAAUAUCGGAAAGUCAACCAUUAAUUAAAUCUAAAAGGUAAACCUUUAAAAAUCCAAACAACUAAAUAACGAUUAAAUUAAAUUGAUAAAAAUAUAAAAGUAAAAUAAAUAGCAAGAAAUUAUAAAAAUUUAAAUGAAAUAGUAAGCAUAAAAAAUAAAAAUAUGGAGAUAUGCUACUCCCAAGUAUCGAACCCAUCCCACUAAAGAAAAU